rnacentral:rRNA from 1 species
UACGUAGGUGGCAAGCGUUGUUCGGAAUUAUUGGGCGUAAAGCGCGCGCAGGUGGUUUCUUAAGUCUGAUGUGAAAGCCCACGGCUCAACCGUGGAGGGUCAUUGGAAACUGGGAGACUUGAGUGCAGAAGAGGAUAGUGGAAUUCCAAGUGUAGCGGUGAAAUGCGUAGAGAUUUGGAGGAACACCAGUGGCGAAGGCGACUGUCUGGUCUGUAACUGACACUGAGGCGCGAAAGCGUGGGGAGCAAACAGG